CGCUGCCUACUGUUAAAAUUGGGGAGAAUGUGAUCUGUUCGGUUUGCUUGGAGGAUUUUGAGAUCGGGGCGGAGGCCAGGGAGAUGCCUUGCCGGCAUAGGUUUCACUGUGACUGCAUAAUACCUUGGCUGGAGCUUCACAGCUCGUGCCCAGUUUGUAGGUUUCAGUUGCCAGCUGAUGGGUCGAAGAUACCGAAUGGGUCUGGUAGUGGGAGCGGAGAGAGGCGGAGGAUUCCUGUCCAGUAUUCUUCCAGUGGGGGGCUCUCAAUGUCGGUG
rnacentral:misc_RNA from 1 species